GUCAAGCUCCCAGCAUCCCUCCCGGACCCGGCCCUCUUCAGCUCAUCGCCCGAGGAUUUUCCGCCUCUGCCCUCGUCGGCAGAUCCUGCUCCUACCCACUCCCUAGCUGUGUUCCCGCGGGGAGAGAGGGGAAAGAGGGUCUGAUUUUUUAACGAAGGGAAAGAAAAUAUGCCAUUUCUAGCGCUUCAGCCACACAAAGAAAGCGGCGGAAUGAUCCGCUCUCGGCGACCGCAAGUCCCGGCUCGCCCGGCGCCUGCGCGGCAGCGGGGGUGGGAGCUGCGGACGGCCAUGUGCGCGGCGGAGAGGCCGGGUGGCCACCGAACCUUCCCGCCUGUUCUGCGGGGCGUCUGGGCAUGGCUUUCCCAACCUAGUAACUGCAACUUUUAGCAUCCUACAUGUAGGACUUGGGAAUAUGUGAGACAGCGCCAAGAAUUUAAUCCAGGAGAAUUGACAAGCUUAAAUGAAAUCCAUAUUGCCCACUGAUUUUGUGCAGCUUCAGAUAAGUAAUCUUUCUCCACUUAGCCUUUUGUAACAAUUGAUGUAAUAAAGGUUUGUAGUCUUUGUGUAAUUUAUUAAAGCAUUGUGCCUAAAAUAGAAAAAAAGCAUAGGAACCAUAGGCUGUGUUUUCUUUUGAUUUAAUAUUUUCAUUUCUUCAGUUAAUAGAAAUUUGCCAAAUUCUGAUGUUUUUCUGUAGCAUUAUUUGAAUGAGCAUUGUUUAUUUGAGUGAACAUUCAGCUAAUUGUUACAGAAUCGUUGCCCCCAUUAAUCUUAGGCUGUAGAAUGUAGACAAGUAAAUAGGCAUCAUCAGUAUGAUGAGAGUGAAGCUACUUAAUACUGUGGAAUCAAAUAAAGGAGGAACCCCUUACUAAACCAAGAGGGAGGAAUAAAAUGGAAUGGGACUAGAGAAGCAAUUAGCUUUAAUAAGGGUAUUAUGGAAGACUUUCUAGAUGAGAAGCAGUAAGUACAGAUGUUUGGAGGCAAACACUAGAGAGAUUGUUGGGUAAAGAAGACAAUGCUGGAGGUCUACUUGUGAAGGCCUUGAAUGCUAUGUGCAGAAGUCAGCUUCUGAGAACCAGGAAGAAGAUAUUGAAAGAUUUUAAGUAGAAGAAUCAUAGGAUUGAAUUCAUUUUAGACAGAUCACUGUUACACAAAAAUUUGAGGCAAACAGAAGAGUUUGGAGUAAACAGUAGGCUGUGAGCCAGUAAUGACUUGGACUGAGUUGGUAGCAGGUAGGUGUGAAGAAAAUAAAGUGGUUAUUGGGAGAUUUGGUUAACUGAAAAUGACUGAGGGAGAUAGAUGUCAGGUGACUCCCAAGUGAGUUGGUGGAGCAGCUAGGAGGAUAGUAAUGUCUUCACUGAGAUUAGAAACAAAAUAAGAGAA
rnacentral:lncRNA from 1 species